CCCGCACGGGUUCGAAACCUGUUGGCUACGUUCUUUUCCUAUUUUUUAAGACAAAUAAUGAUCGUACUCGGAACGGUUACGAAAUUAAUUCAUUGUUUGAACCAGAGUCGCCGUGGCCGAGUGGGAAAAUUGCAUGGAAACUAGACCAAGUAAUAACUACAUCGCCUCCAACUGUAGGGUACUAGGGUUUGCAGAUCAAGCAGUUAAAGAUCAGAGAUGUGCGGAUAACAGAUUUAACGACACUAGCUCCUCAUCUUGAUGUGUUGGAAGUUUAACUUGAACUAGCAGGAUCUUUUUAUUCAAAAUCUUAUCAUGCUACAUGAAGCUUUUGAACGAGUAAGAAAUCCGCCAGGUCCUUGUGGAGUUGUAGACAAUGUAGAAUUCUAGAGGAUCUGGUAUUUGGCCUAUUAUCCCAACACCCAGGAAGCUCAUCUUAUUGGUGUGAUCAAUACACUUCGAUUGACAGUUCAGUGACAACACUAACUUAAACAUGUGGAUGCAAGAUAUAUCCAGGAAAAUAAUUGAUCGUCAAGACAAGAUCUAUAUUUGGGGAACUAUGUCGACUAGACAAAGUCAGCUUCAUGAACCUGAAGAACCUCUGUCCAAGUCGAUAACCAAACAUGUGAAGCCGUUAUUCAAAUGUCUCGAUAAAAUAUCAGAACUAAAUUUUGAUAAUUGAUAUGGAAUAUCUUUCCAGCGAUGAUCAUCGUUUAUUGGAGGAGGCAAUUUAACAACUGCAGUCAGGUUUAAAGAUUAUGUUUUAAAUGUGUAUUAGUCCACUGUGUUUGUCUGCAUGUUUAUGUGUUAGACUUGCUUGGUUGUAACAUCAAACUGUAAUUGACUGUUGGAUUUCUGAUAAAACUAAGAUUCCGGAUUUCCAAUUCCAGGUUUAUUUUAUUAAAAACAAAUUGGUACUUACACCGGGCCUAUAAUAUUAAAAUAUCUUACUAUAUUUUACAUGAUUUUAGCUUCAAUGAAUAGAUGAAACAGCAAAAUGUGAUCAUUACAGAAUUAAAUGUAAUUUUAAAAAAAAUAACAUUUUUACUGAUUAUGAACAUUCUGAUGACAAUAGUAGUGAUUUAAAAAAGUACUAACAUGAUUCAGAUUAUAAUGUUACUCAAAAUCGCUGUUCAAAAAAUGUCUUACAGUACCAUAUUUUAUUAAAAAACUCUUAUCAACAGUUCUCCAAACAAUUAUUUAAAAAAAAAGAAAAAUAAUAAUUGGAAAAUAAUAAAGUGGCAACCGUAAAUGUAGAAAUUUGUAGCUGUACCAUUCAACACUUACGUAGUCUUUGUGAAUUAGGUGCCUUCUUGAAAAAAAAGGAUCCGUUAAUUGGGUUAAGUUUUAAAUAGAUCACAACAUACAUACUUACGACGAAACAGAUCACAACAUACAUACUUACCUCUAUGUUGUAAGUAAAUAAAGGUCCCAAUCUGUACUUACAUCUUUAAAUAAAUUCUAUCAAAUAUUCACAAAUUCAAAGAUAAGCAUUAGUUAUGGUUCAUAUUAUUAUAUUUAUGUCUAUUAUGUGGUUAAUUGGCUAUAAUAAAUGAGCAUAACCAAGUACCAUCGUUUUAAAAAUACACCAAGUUUGAAAGGGCAUAGGUUCUCCGUGCAAGAAAAAAUAACAAUGUUUAACAACAGUUUUGCGGUAUGUUUAAAAAAUUACUUACUAUUAUAAGAAACAAACAUAAAAUUAACCGGAUUCUCGGCACAGCAACACGCAUCUGCUACUAUUUAAUUCUUCGUCUGCUACUGCAUAAUUCCCACUGCUACCGGCACUGCUACCCUUAAAUAUGAUAAGCAAACACAUGUUAAUAUUAUUAACCAACUACCACUUUAUUGUUGAAGUAACUCUAAAAACAUUAACUCAGUAAUGAAAGCCAAACCAUUGUAAGAAAACAAGCCUUAGAAAAACUGAACUCUUUGUUCAGUCAGUGCUAUUAUUUACAAAGCUUUUUAGAAAUCCAUUUUGGAAUGUUUUGCUGCGAAACCAUUUUUUCAGUUUCAUUAAUUUUCUUGAACAUAGUCCUUGUAAGUGAGUAUAAAUUACCAUGCAAAUUAUUUGCUGGUACGAUAAAGUUGGUGACAAGUCUUCAAUCUCCAUUGGCUGCUGGUGAUCUUGAAUAUGAUCUUGAUCGACGAGGAGAUGGAGUUGGACUGAAACGAAACAAGGUUUUAAUAUCAAUGCUACACAUAGAGCA